GGUGAAAGGCAAAUGGGCGUGAUCGACGACCAUCCAUCCUUCUUCCAAGCAAAUGUCUUCAAGUAUCCGCUUAGAGGGAUAAUCGUCAAUUUCCGCUUCCCGACUAUCAAGCAAGUUGCCAAUAUGAUGGGCAAGACUCGCUCCUCGUAUAAUUGGACGUAGUCAUGAUGCUCUAGGGGCUCUUCCAAUUUGAAAGCUGGAGUUUCAACAAUUGGAAGGAUCGAU
rnacentral:lncRNA from 1 species